AGGUUAGAAAUGUUACCACAAAGGAAAACAGUGGAGAUCAAUGUAUAACAGAGAGGGGAGAACAGCUAUAACAUUCGAGCAGCAUUGUAUCCAGCAAAGAAGCCAUCUUCUGUGAAUGUGUAUGGACCUAAUGGAACAUAGAGUCCUAGAUCAAAUGCAGUCAAUUACACUUGGAGUACAAAUUGCCUAUUUGUUGCAUUACCUGCAACUGUCCUGCUCAAUAUUAGUGGAUCCUCACACAAGUCAUCUAGAUAUCACUCUACCAUCCUUUUGCUGUAAAGUUUGUGAGAGCAAUAGGGAAAAGAUGAUUAAGGAUGUUAUUUCGCACAACAGACUUUUCGCACAAGUCUUUUAGCACAAAUUUCGGACCGUUCGCACAAUUCUUAGUGGUCAUUUCGCACAAUAAAUAUAAGUGAAAAACAUCAAUAUAAAAGGUAUACUGAUUGAUACUGAUAAGACAUUUCACCUUCACAAGAUCCAACGGCGAAAACUUAGACAUUUAUUUACGUAAUAACUUCAGCUAGAUCGAAAUGCUCGUGAACACGAUCACUAUUCUUACUUGAAGAAAGGAAAGGCAGAAAUCUCUCUUUCUAUGAAAAUGUAAAGAACUCCAUUUUCGAACGACUAAUUCUAUAACUUUUCCUUUGUUGAACGAAAAAGCUUUUAGUUUUGACAGUAUCAUCGACUACGAACAUGCAAACAUGACGACCCACGCUAAGGACACCAUGUUGAUUUCGAAAGUAAUGGUCACUAGUCUUCCCUCCUUGUGCGAUCGCAUUCAAACAGCAUGUUUUAUCGAUCUGUAAGAGUUUCAAAUAAAGCUAUUGAAAACUUGCUUCUUAUAUCUUCGUUAUAUAAUGAAAAUUAGGCAUACUGGUAAUACGUACAGCAAAAACAGUUCAACGUUAAUAACUCGAUAUUCAGAGAGUGCUUCAUAUCGAAUGUCGGCACGUGCAAGUGUUGUGAUUUGACAACUUGAACGUGUCAGUGUAGGUAGAAACUAGUGAUCUUGUAGAAAGACAAGUUCGAUCUGUAAUCUUUUUAAAGAUCGUAAAGUUUAAUACA